CAUUGAGUAAAGUAAAGUUUUUUUUUGAGAUGAGUAAAGUAAAGUAAACAACAAUAAUGAAUGCAUCCCUAGGUAUUCGGUAAAUUAGCUUUCUUCAACAAGCAAAAGAAACAGAUCUGGAUAUGUCUAUCUUCAUUCCAUUUCCAAACCUGGGAUAAUAUGGAGUAUUAAGAGAGGUCGGGGAAUGCUUGCUUCAGAUGGUUUCAUGUUGGAUAACUUUGUCACGCAGAAAAGCAUAUUGGAUUUUGCUCUUUUGUUUCCUUGCAGAAGCUAUACAUUGAUGAAUGCUAUCUAUGUUUUAGCAAUAAUAGAUGAUUAUAGAUAUGGAUGCUAAAAUUUAUACAUUGUGGAAUGGAGGCAAGUGCUAAAUACUGUUUUGAGAACUAUUUGCCUUCAUGGUCUCAUGAUUAUCUUUCAUAUAAUGAAGUACUCAAAUGCAAAUAGAGCAUUAUCUAUAAUUAAUCUAUUAUAAUUUUCAGUCUAA